rnacentral:rRNA from 1 species
UACGUAGGGUGCAAGCGUUGUCCGGAAUUAUUGGGCGUAAAGAGCUCGUAGGCGGUUUGUUGCGUCGGCUGUGAAAUCCCGAGGCUCAACCUCGGGUCUGCAGUCGAUACGAGCAAACUAGAGUGUUGCAGGGGAGACUGGAAUUCCUGGUGUAGCGGUGGAAUGCGCAGAUAUCAGGAGGAACACCAAUAGCGAAGGCAGCUCGCUGGGACGUUACUGACACUGAGGCGCGAAAGCGUGGGGAGCGAACAGG